rnacentral:SRP_RNA from 1 species
ACCAUAGUGAUUCAUGUGCUUAAUCCCUGAUACCUGAGAGAUUGAGGCUGGUGGAUUUCUUUGAGCUCAGGAAUUUUGGGUUAUAGUGAACUAAGCCAAUCAUUCAUGCUAAGUACAGCACCAAUAUGAUGAACUCCCUUGAGCAAGCAGCCACUAGGCUGCCUUAGGAAGGGUGAACCAGCCCAGGAGCAGUUCAAAGCUCCCAUGCUGAUCAGUAGUGGUAUUGGGCCUGUAAAUAAUCAGUGUUCUUCUAACCAGGACAAGAUAGGAAGAACCAGUCUCC